AUUUGGCGGACGGGUGAGUAACGCGUGGGAAUCUGCCCUUUGGUUCGGAAUAACAGUUGGAAACGACUGCUAAUACCGGAUGAUGACGAAAGUCCAAAGAUUUAUCGCCAGAGGAUGAGCCCGCGUAGGAUUAGCUAGUUGGUGUGGUAAAGGCGCACCAAGGCGACGAUCCUUAGCUGGUCUGAGAGGAUGAUCAGCCACACUGGGACUGAGACACGGCCCAGACUCCUACGGGAGGCAGCAGUAGGGAAUAUUGGACAAUGGGCGAAAGCCUGAUCCAGCAAUGCCGCGUGAGUGAUGAAGGCCUUAGGGUUGUAAAGCUCUUUUACCCGGGAUGAUAAUGACAGUACCGGGAGAAUAAGCUCCGGCUAACUCCGUGCCAGCAGCCGCGGUAAUAAU
rnacentral:rRNA from 1 species